UACGAAGGGGGCUAGCGUUGUUCGGAAUUACUGGGCGUAAAGGGCGCGUAGGCGGUGCCUCAAGUCAGGCGUGAAAGCCCCGGGCUCAACCUGGGAACCGCGCUUGAGACUGGAGUACUAGAGUUCGGGAGAGGAUGGUGGAAUUCCCAGUGUAGAGGUGAAAUUCGUAGAUAUUGGGAAGAACACCGAUGGCGAAGGCGGCUCACUGGACCGGUACUGACGCUGAGGCGCGAAAGCGUGGGGAGCAAACGGG
rnacentral:rRNA from 1 species